rnacentral:tRNA from 1 species
AUUCAAAUAGCUCAUGUUUAGAGUAUAACCUGAAGAUGUUGGGGAAGGUUUAUUAAGCCUUUGAAUA